rnacentral:rRNA from 1 species
UACGGAGGAGGCAAGCGUUAUCCGGAAUUAUUGGGCGUAAAGCGUUCGCAGGUGGCACUUCAAGUCUGUCGUCAAAGACUGGGGCUUAACCCUGGAAAGGCGGCGGAAACUGAAGCGCUAGAGUGCGGUAGGGGUAGAGGGAAUUCCCGGUGUAGCGGUGAAAUGCGUAGAGAUCGGGAAGAACAUCGGUGGCGAAAGCGCUCUACUGGACCGCAACUGACACUCAGGGACGAAAGCUAGGGGAGCGAAUGGG